UGCAAGUCGAACGGUAGAGGGGGCAACCCCUUGAGAGUGGCGAACGGGUGAGUAAUAUAUCGGAACGUGCCCAGUCGUGGGGGAUAACGUAGUGAAAAUUACGCUAAUACCGCAUACGAUCUAAGGAUGAAAGCGGGGGAUCGCAAGACCUCGCGCGACUGGAGCGGCCGAUAUCAGAUUAGGUAGUUGGUGAGGUAAAGGCUCACCAAGCCAACGAUCUGUAGCUGGUCUGAGAGGACGACCAGCCACACUGGAACUGAGACACGGUCCAGACUCCUACGGGAGGCAGCAGUGGGGAAUUUUGGACAAUGGACGCAAGUCUGAUCCAGCCAUUCCGCGUGCAGGAUGAAGGCCCUCGGGUUGUAAACUGCUUUUGUACGGAACGAAAAGGUCUCUCCUAAUACGAGGGGCUCAUGACGGUACCGUAAGAAUAAGCACCGGCUAACUACGUGCCAGCAGCCGCGGUAAUACGUAGGGUGCAAGCGUUAAUCGGAAUUACUGGGCGUAAAGCGUGCGCAGGCGGUUAUGUAAGACAGAGGUGAAAUCCCCGGGCUCAACCUGGGAACUGCCUUUGUGACUGCAUAGCUAGAGUACGGUAGAGGGGGAUGGAAUUCCGCGUGUAGCAGUGAAAUGCGUAGAUAUGCGGAGGAACACCGAUGGCGAAGGCAAUCCCCUGGACCUGUACUGACGCUCAUGCACGAAAGCGUGGGGAGCAAACAGGAUUAGAUACCCUGGUAGUCCACGCCCUAAACGAUGUCAACUGGUUGUUGGGUCUUAACUGACUCAGUAACGAAGCUAACGCGUGAAGUUGACCGCCUGGGGAGUACGGCCGCAAGGUU
rnacentral:rRNA from 1 species